GAAAUGCGAUAGUAAUGUGAAUUGCAGAAUUCAGUGAAUCAUCGAAUCUUUGAACGCACAUUGCGCCCGCCAGUAUUCUGGCGGGCAUGCCUGUUCGAGCGUCAUUACAACCCUCAGGCCCCCGGGCCUGGCGUUGGGGAUCGGCGGAAGCCCCCUGCGGGCACAACGCCGUCCCCCAAAUACAGUGGCGGUCCCGCCGCAGCUUCCAUUGCGUAGUAGCUAACACCUCGCAACUGGAGAGCGGCGCGGCCACGCCGUAAAACACCCAACUUCUGAAUGUUGACCUCGAAUCAGGUAGGAAUACCCGCUGAACUUAAGC
rnacentral:misc_RNA from 1 species